rnacentral:rRNA from 1 species
GAUGAACGCUGGCGGCGUGCCUAAUACAUGCAAGUCGAGCGAACAGACGAGGAGCUAGCUCCUCUGACGUUAGCGGCGGACGGGUGAGUAACACGUGGAUAACCUACCUAUAAGACUGGGAUAACUUCGGGAAACCGGAGCUAAUACCGGAUAAUAUAUUGAACCGCAUGGUUCAAUAGUGAAAGACGGUUUUGCUGUCACUUAUAGAUGGAUCCGCGCCGCAUUAGCUAGUUGGUAAGGUAACGGCUUACCAAGGCAACGAUGCGUAGCCGACCUGAGAGGGUGAUCGGCCACACUGGAACUGAGACACGGUCCAGACUCCUACGGGAGGCAGCAGUAGGGAAUCUUCCGCAAUGGGCGAAAGCUUGACGGAGCAACGCCGCGUGAGUGAUGAAGGUCUUCGGAUCGUAAAACUCUGUUAUUAGGGAAGAACAAAUGUGUAAGUAACUAUGCACGUCUUGACGGUACCUAAUCAGAAAGCCACGGCUAACUACGU